CAGCAGCCGCGGUAAUACGUAGGGUGCGAGCGUUAAUCGGAAUUACUGGGCGUAAAGCGUGCGCAGGCGGUUAUAUAAGACAGAUGUGAAAUCCCCGGGCUCAACCUGGGACCUGCAUUUGUGACUGUAUAGCUAGAGUACGGUAGAGGGGGAUGGAAUUCCGCGUGUAGCAGUGAAAUGCGUAGAUAUGCGGAGGAACACCGAUGGCAAAGGCAAUCCCCUGGACCUGUACUGACGCUCAUGCACGAAGGCGUGUGGAGCAAACAGGAUUAGAUACCCCAGUAGUCCCUGUCUCUUAUAC
rnacentral:rRNA from 1 species